AUCAUAAAUAAUUUGAGGAGACAGAUAAUAAGGAAACUAGUUAUGAAACAACUAAAAUAAUCCAACAGAAAAGAAUGAAUAUGGUGACAGUGAGACCGGAAAAUUAUGACAGCAAAACCACUCACUUAUGAAUUGAUAGCAGCAUCAGAAUAUGCUUUCUUACUCAUAUGGUGUAAAAACUUUCACCCCGCCCCCCAACCAUCUCUCCCAAAAUGAUAAUUAUUUCUAACUUAUUCUGACAAUUUGAAAAAGAGGAUCUACUAGGCCGGGCAUGGUGGCUCACGCCUGCAAUCACAGCACUUUGGGAGGCUGAGGCAG
rnacentral:antisense_RNA from 1 species